CAGUCGCCGCGGGAAUACGUAGGUGGCAAGCGUUGUCCGGAAUUAUUGGGCGUAAAGGGCUCGCAGGCGGUUUCUUAAGUCUGAUGUGAAAGCCCCCGGCUCAACCGGGGAGGGUCAUUGGAAACUGGGAAACUUGAGUGCAGAAGAGGAGAGUGGAAUUCCACGUGUAGCGGUGAAAUGCGUAGAGAUGUGGAGGAACACCAGUGGCGAAGGCGACUCUCUGGUCUGUAACUGACGCUGAGGAGCGAAAGCGUGGGGAGCGAACAGGAUUAGAUACCCGUGUAGUCCCUGUCUCUUAUAC
rnacentral:rRNA from 1 species